rnacentral:rRNA from 1 species
CGGUUGUCACGCCAGUGGCAUUGCCGAGUAGCUAAGUGUGGAAGAGAUAACCGCUGAAAGCAUCUAAGCGGGAAACUCGUUUCAAGAUGAGAUCUGCCGGGGCCUUGAGCCCCCUGAAGAGUCGUUCGAGACCAGGACGUUGAUAGGUUGGGUGUGGAAGCGCAGCAAUGCGUUAAGCUAACCAAUACUAAUUGCUCGUGAGGCUUGACCCUAUAACUUUG